rnacentral:rRNA from 1 species
AUUGAACGCUGGCGGCAUGCCUUACACAUGCAAGUCGAACGGUAACAGGUCUUCGGAUGCUGACGAGUGGCGAACGGGUGAGUAAUGCAUCGGAACGUGCCCAGCUGUGGGGGAUAACUGCUCGAAAGAGCAGCUAAUACCGCAUACGACCUGAGGGUGAAAGCGGGGGAUCGCAAGACCUCGCGCAAUUGGAGCGGCCGAUGUCAGAUUAGGUAGUUGGUGGGGUAAAGGCCUACCAAGCCGACGAUCUGUAGUUGGUCUGAGAGGACGACCAGCCACACUGGGACUGAGACACAGCCCAGACUCCUACGGGAGGCAGCAGUGGGGAAUUUUGGACAAUGGGCGCAAGCCUGAUCCAGCAAUGCCGCGUGCAGGAAGAAGGCCUUCGGGUUGUAAACUGCUUUUGUCAGGGAAGAAAUCUUCUGGGUUAAUACCCCGGGAGGAUGACGGUACCUGAAGAAUAAGCACCGGCUAACUACGUGCCAGCCGCCGCCGUAAAAC